rnacentral:lncRNA from 1 species
AUGGGCCUUUUAGUCGUACAAAGGAAAAUCCUCUAUCCCUUUGGGAGUAAGAGUGGAGAGAGCCAGACCCCUCCGCAUAACAAUGGGAAAGGAAGCUGCUUCCUCCAGCCAGAGGGCUACCUCGGAGGGGAGCCUGAGACCCCAGCGGAGGGGUUUCCUUUCUCCUCAAGGAGCUUUCAGAGGAGAGGAGGGCUUGGACUUCAGGUGAGGGUUGGGCAGAAGACAAAGACUGGCUGCCCUCCUGUCUGGCCACUGUCAAGACCCUCAGGUGCUUCCAGGUGCAAUGCUGGUACCGGCCACGAACAAACAGCGGGUCCUAAAUAAUCACACCUAACACUGCAAUGCAAGUGCUCGGCGUCAAGCAGUGCUCUAAAGGCUACACACACCAACACGUCGACUUUCUGCAACCACUUCUUGAGGAUCCUGCCAUUGUACCUGGUUUGCUGACAGGAAAAUGAAGACAGAGAUGAAGUGACUCGCCAAGGCCAUGUGUGAUGGUGCUGGGAUUUGAGUCCUGCAGUCUGUGCUGUGAAUCGCUUCACUCCCUGCUUCUUUCUCCAUGCUCACAGGAGAGAAGCCAUCAAAGAGGGACUGGCGAGUCCAGAGGGCUUCUCUGAGCAAGUGAGCUGAGAUCUCAGAAUGAGAUGGAAUUAACCCCACCUAAAGCAAAAGAUCAUGCCAGGAAGCGGCAACCACACUUGCAAAGGCCCAGAGGUAGGAUGGGAGCAAGGAAGAAGUGAAUGAAGGAUUUGUCUGGAGAUGUGGGCAGGGCCAAGUCAUGCCAAGAAUCUUUAUAGGAAGCUGUUGGAAGGUUUUAGAGGGGUGGUUGUGGUUGGUAUGGUCAGAUUUGUAUUUAAAAUAUCACUCUGGGGGCCGGUGGGUGGCUAGUGGUUAAGUGGGCGCCCUCUGCUUUGGCAGCCCAGGUCCGCAGGUUCGGAUCCCAGGUGCAGACCCACACAUCACUCAUCAAGCUGUGCUGUGGUGGCGUCCCACAUAAAAUAAAGGAAGAUUGGCACAAAUGUUAGCUCA